UACGUAGGGGGCGAGCGUUGUCCGGAAUUAUUGGGCGUAAAGAGCGUGUAGGCGGUUCGGUAAGUCUGCCGUGAAAACCUGGGGCUCAACCCUGGGCGUGCGGUGGAUACUGCCGGGCUAGAGGGUGGUAGAGGCGAGUGGAAUUCCCGGUGUAGCGGUGAAAUGCGCAGAUAUCGGGAGGAACACCAGUGGCGAAGGCGACUUCCUGGCCUGUUCUUGACGCUGAGGCGCGAAAGCUAGGGGAGCAAACGGG
rnacentral:rRNA from 1 species